AUGCCCAGGGAAGACAGGGCAACCUGGGAGUCCAACUAUGUCCUUAAGAUCAUCCAAUUUCUGGAUGAUUAUCCAAAACGCUUUAUUGUGGGAGUAGACAACAUGGGCCCUGAGCAGAUGCAGCAGAUCCACAUGUCCCUUUCAGGCUGUGGUGUUGGUGGGCAAGAGCACCACAAUGGGCAAGGCCAUGGAGGGCAUCUGGAAAACAACCCAGCUCUGGAGAAACGGCCUCAUCUCUGGGGGAAUGCGGCUUUAGGAUUCACCAAGGAUGACCUCACUGAGAUGAGAGAUGUGCUACUGACCAUGCUGUUUCCCCCCCGGGAAGUCACUGUGCCACCCCAGAACACUGAUCUGGGGCUAGAGAAGACCUCCUUCUUACAGGCACGAAAAUCCCCAUGGACACCAUUGAAAUGCUGAGUGAUGUACAGCUGAUUACAACUGGAGACAAAGUGGGAGCCAGCAAAGCCACACUGCUGAACAUCUCCCCCUGCUCCUUUGGGCUGGCCAGCCAGCAGGUGCUCAACCAUGGCAGCAUCUACAACCCUGAAGUGCUGGAUGUGACAGAGGAAACUGCAUUCUCCCUCCCUGGAGGGCAUCCACAAUGUUGCCAAUGUUUGUCUGCAGACUGGUGAGCCACUUGUUGCAUCAGAACCCCAUUCUAUCAUCAGUGGGUGCAAAUGAAUCCUGGCUUUGUCUGUGGAGACUGAUUACACCCUCUCACUUGCUGAAAAGCUCAAGGCCUUCUUAACUGACCCAUCUGCCUUUGUGGCUGCUGCUCCUGUGGCCACCACCAUCACUGCUGCCCCUGCUGCCCCACAGCCCCAACCAAGGUUGAGCCAAGGAAGAGCCAGAGGAGUUGGAUGAGGAUAUAGGAUUUGGUCUCUUUGACUAAUCACCAAAAAUAACAAACGCAGCCAGAUUUAGUUGCAAAACAAGGAAAUAAAGCCUUACCUCUCU